GCUCCUGUGGCCUAGUCGUUAGAGCAUCCGCCUCGGAUGCGGGAGGUCGUGGGUUCGCCGAGUCAAACCAAAGACU